UUCACGCUCUCUCUUUCUCUCUCCUUCACACGCACACAGAAGAAGCUAUAGCUAGCUUCAACCCUGAUACUCAAUUUUCGUGAUCAAAACCAGUCUAGUGUUAUUCUUUCCUUUGUUCCUUUCAUUAUGCUUUGCUUUGUCUUUGCUCUUUCUACUUCACAACAGCCUGUGUUCUCUGGUCUUUCCUUUUCUCUUCUUUUGAAUCUUAAUAGGUUUUCAAAUAGCAACAUUGAGUCUUUUUUCAGAUUUAUAGAUAUAUGGUAGAGUCAGAUCUAUAUGUCUAAAUUUCAUGUGGCACUUCAUGAAUUGUAAUUGGCAGCAUUGAAAUAUAGUCUGCAUUUUAAGUAAGUAUUUUUCUUUUGUUUUUUCUUGAAUUUAAUCAUUUUGGUUGAUUAAAUUAGGGUUUUCUCUUAGGGUACGUUCUUAAUAUUCCUCUAGACUAAGAUCUAAUCCAUGGAGCUUUAUAUUUAUACUAGUUAUCUCUAUCUCAACUUUGCCUGGUGCAUGGUGUUUUUACAUAAGGAAUUGGUAUUUCCAAUCUAUAGAAACAAGUUUUAAUUAAUCUGGCUACAGCUAGUUGAUAAAAUUUAAUCUAUAGAUUCUUCUUUUGGUUAAUUUUUGUGCACAAAUCGAGAGGCAGUCGUUGUUUGCAAAUGUGGCAUCAUCAAGAUUCACAUGCAACGUACAUAUAUAUAUGUAUAUAUAUAUUAUAUGGUUUUGGCCUGAGAAUCCUGAUGAUGCUGCAUUGGCAAUGAAUGGCUAGAUGGAGAACUUUGAUCGGCUUCUUCUCCUUUCCAUCCCAACAUGGUGGUUUCUCUCCCAAUAUUACCAAUAAAUUCAAAGGGUAUCUAUUGGCGGUAUAUAUACCACUUGGAUCUAAAUCUAAUCCUUCCUAGAUGGACGAGUUGAAGCUUGGCAUCAUGAAGAUGGGAUUGAAAUCUCACUGGCCUUGGAGUUAGAAACAUCUAAGCCUGUAAUUAUCAGGAAUAAUAAAGUGAGAAGACUUUGCUCUCACUCACUCUACAUAUCUGUAACUUACUGCAUAAUAUAAUGGUUAAUUAUUUGAUUCAAGUUUUUUGCAUUCGGCCGAUACUGAUGUAGCUAGAUAUAUAUAUAUAUAUAUAUAUCAAUCAUAAUCCUUUCUUCUUAUAAGCAUCAAAACAAAGUGAUGAUAAUCUUAAAUUCCCAGGUAUUAACCCCAUACCUUACUUUUGAAGGUUCAUGAUUUUCUAAUUGGUUUAUAUCAAGAUUUUUAUGAACAAAUGAGUUUUUCUGUUUCUAGAAACCUUUUUCAUUGUAAUUAUGCAUGCCAUCAAUGUCGUCCUUGGUACUAUCUCCCCAUUCAUCAUCCACUGAGAUCAGUGGGGCAACCUUUCUGAUCUGAUCUGAUCUCUCUGCUGCGCUGCAAAAAUUUUAAUUGAUGGUCCUCUCUGUUCAUCUGUCAAUCAUGCUGUUCAUUGGCACCUUCCUAGAGUUGCUUCCGUGGUUUACAGCUGAUUGCACAUUCCAACCGUUAAUUGCUGCUACUCCAGGUGAGAUGCCCUUAAUUUGCCAUCCAAAUCUUCAAGACUUGUUUAAGAUUGCUUCUGCAGUAGCAGUACUAGUAUUAGUAUAAGUACACCAACUUUGAAGCACUAAACAUGGAAUAAUAUUCAUUUGCUUAACAAAUAUUUCUUAUAAUUCAAAUAUGUUUCCACUACAUGUUGACAUAAAUUAUGUUUACUUUUUGUAAACUCUAGUAGCCAAAUCCUGACUUAUGAUGGAAGGAUGAAAUAUAUCUAUAUAAUAAUUACAUACAUCAUUUUUUUUUCUCACUUUUUGGGUAUUCUUUACCAUCUACUCUCAUUAUACUUAACUAUGUGCACACAUGUCUUCUCCUAUGUUAUUAUCUACUCUCAUCGACUCCUAUAUACACACUAGGCGUCUCAUGGCAGCUCCCCAAGGAUAGUGAUCUCAAAUUCAAUGUUGACAGCUCUACUAAAGAUAAACGAAGGCUGACCGAUUGUGGUGGUGUCCUUAGGAAUUCCGACGGAUUUGUUGUUGGGGUUUUCUUCGGCCUGCUUGGUUGCCAAGAGUCUAACUUUGCUAAGCUUAUGGCCAUCCUUUAUGCUUUGAGCUUUGUUGCCUCAUCUCCUUAUAACGGGUCUAACUUGAUCAUCGAAUUUGACUUAAAGAUUACUCUCUCAUGGAUUAAUAAUGAAUCACAGCAACCUUGAAAUUUUUGACAUGUCUUAAAUGAAAUUGACGUUUUCCUACACUCACUUGGUCAUGUGACUCUCUCACACAUUCUAAGGGAAGGUAAUAUCUUAGCAAAUUCCUUAGCCAAGUAUGGGGUUGACAGGAAUUUUACUUUUUCUGCUUGGUGGUGAUGACUAUUGCAAUCUGCUUUUAAGUAUGUUCUCUUCACAUAAUUUGCUCCUUUUCAUUUAUUGUAUGUUUGUUUUUGCUUUGAUGCUAUCACAAUACAGAGGAUAGGGGGCAUCCCUUCAUCUUUGAUCAAAUUUUUUUCUGUCUUAGUUUGCUCUACUUGUUUUCUGUUUCAUGAUGUGGAGACCUUUUUUGAUAAGAGUCAUCUUGUUUUAGUCCGUUUAACAGACAACGCCACUGUUUCUCUCUCUGAGUAGCAGUUGCUACCUUUUAUAAUCAUAUUCAUUAUCAAUAAAAUCUUUGAUUGAUUGAGAAAAAAAAAUUCCCAACAUUGAUUAUAUAUCACAAUUAAUGAUAUCUCCCCUUCCAUAUAUUACUAUUUUUUGGGCCAAUAUAUAUGGACCUUUAAUUUCCAAUAUGUAGAGAGAGGAUAUUUAAAGUGAAAGGGGACUAUUUUAUUAAUCAACGUCAUAUGUCUGAUUCAUAUAUUACUAUCUUCUGCUUCCUUAACUAAGGAACAAAUCCAAACGGGAUUUGGGUUCUACUUCUUACAUACAUAGACAGAAAGAACAAAGCAGUAUAUGUGUUCAUGUAGUACCUAGUUUUUCUGAUUCAUAUAUAUGGUUCCUCCUUUAAUCCUACCCUUAAAAUUAUUUCAUGCAUUCUAUAUGUAUUUUAAAGUCUUAUUGUGUUUUCUGUUUUCUUCUUCGACAUGUUAUUGGUUUGGACUGCCAAACAUAAAGAGUUCAACAUUUAAACCUGAAUUGUUAUAGUCUUUCAACCCUAAAUAUUUCUUUUCUUUUCCACUUCUUGUGGGCAGUCCCUCAACUUAUAGACGAUUUGCUGAUAAAGUGAGUGUAAUAUUUGUAUGGCUAGUAAUUUUGACUUUACCUAUGUCAAAUAGAAUUAAUGCUAUGAUCAAAGAGCAACAAGAUGGGGUUUUAAAGGGUAUUUUACACCUUUUAAAAAUGCAGACUGAUUGAAAUGAGCUUAAUCCUUUGUUCAUUUCUGCAUGGAAUUUUUAGAUACAUGUUCUCUAUCUCUGAUGAGAAGGCCUUGUGAUUUUGUAAUGGUUGCUGUCUUUGUGCUCAUUAAGAUCAUGAUUCCAGUGUCUGCAACUAUAUAUAUUAUUCUUGAUUUUAAGUAAAGACUGAACCAUUUUAAGGAUUUGAUUUAUCCAGGAAACUAUAUCUGGUGCAAAUAAGAAAUCAAUUAUUGCAUGAUCUGCUCACCUAACAAUGUUGUGUACUUUUUGACAUGUUAUGAUAUCUAACAAUUAAUGUCUCUGCCAACAUUUGCCUGGAGAACCAAAACUGAUCAGUACUAUUUUCAUUCUCUAACUUGUCUCAGGAAAUGGGUAAUAAUGACUUUCCAUUCUAAAAAUGCUGCAUUUCCGAAAUUUCAGAAGGUCAUGAACUUCAGGUGGCGCUUACUUCAAAACUUCAGAGGAACAUAGAUGCUUAAUAUCUAUGGAGAAAAAGAAAAAAGACUUCGAAAUGAGAAAUACUUUUGAUAAUGACAAGAGAUGCCUUCUACUGUUCUACAUCCACGAAGCCUGUUGUUAAGUCACAAUCAAUGGGUAGGUUGGAGACCUCUCUUCCACGUCUGACUUGUUCAUGUAGAAUCUGACAUGUUCAUCUAGUUGAAAUUCUCAAAAAGCUUUGAUUGCAACCACUUUUUGUCGACAAGAAAACAGCUUCUUACAUAAUGUAAUAAAGGUCUCAUUGGUUGGGACACAGAGAAUAUUUGACACUCGAUUUAUAUUUGAUGCAAGAAAUAUGAGUAACCAUAUCUU